rnacentral:ncRNA from 1 species
UUCAGGCAGGGAUGCGUAGAUCCGAGCGGUCCUCCGUAAGGGGACGCGGUCGCCAAUGGCCGCUCGGGGAGCAAGUGGCGAGACCGACCCACGGGGAA